rnacentral:rRNA from 1 species
AGGGGAAACCUGAUCCAUCCAUCCGCGUGAGUGAAGAAUGCCUUCGGGUUGUAAAGCUCUUUCGCAAGGGAAGAAACGAUACAGUCGAAUAAACUGUGUUAAUGACGGUACCUUGAUAAGAAGCACCGGCUAACUACGUGCCAGCAGCCGCGGUAAUACGUAGGGUGCGAGCGUUAAUCGGAAUUACUUGGGCGUAAAGCGUGCGCAGGCGGUUUUGAAAGUCAGAUGUGAAAUCCCAGGGCUCAAACUGGGAACUGCGUUUGAAACUCCAAAGCUAGAGUAUGGGAGAGGGGGGUCGAA